rnacentral:lncRNA from 10 species
GAGCUACGAAGAGACUACAGUGCCUCUGACUUUUUCAUAGGACAGUUGGCCGAGGAAGACAAACAUAAAGAUGAAGUGCUUAAUUCAAGGUCACACAAUGUCGGGGAUGGACCUCCAGAUUUCCUUACUGGUGAGACGUGGUCUUGUAACACAGUGGUUAAGAAUGUGACUUUGGAGCCAGCCUGCUAGGGGCUGAAUUCUGACUCAGCCAUUUACUAACUGUGUGACCUUAGAAGAGAGGGACACAGAGGGAAGAUGGCCACAUGAAGAUGGAGGCAGAGAUUGCAGUUAUGCUGCUGCAAACUAAGGAAUGGCUCUGGCCCUCCAAGGAUUGCUGAUAACCACCAGAAACUAGAAGAGACAAGGAAGGAUUCUUCCCUAGAGCCUUCAGAGGGAGCAUGGCCCUACUGACACCUGGAUUUCAAACUUGUAGCUUCCUAAACUGCAAGAGAAUAAAUUUCUG